rnacentral:rRNA from 1 species
AGCGAACGCUGGCGGCAGGCCUAACACAUGCAAGUCGAACGAAGUCUUCGGACUUAGUGGCGGACGGGUGAGUAACACGUGGGAACGUGCCUUUAGGUUCGGAAUAACUCAGGGAAACUUGUGCUAAUACCGAAUGUGCCCUUCGGGGGAAAGAUUUAUCGCCUUUAGAGCGGCCCGCGUCUGAUUAGCUAGUUGGUGAGGUAAAGGCUCACCAAGGCUACGAUCAGUAGCUGGUCUGAGAGGAUGACCAGCCACAUUGGGACUGAGACACGGCCCAAACUCCUACGGGAGGCAGCAGUGGGGAAUCUUGCGCAAUGGGCGAAAGCCUGACGCAGCCAUGCCGCGUGGAUGAUGAAGGUCUUAGGAUUGUAAAGUCCUUUUAACGGGGAAGAUAAUGACGGUACCCGUAGAAUAAGCCCCGGCUAACUUCGUGCCAGCCGCCGCAGUAAAAC